rnacentral:rRNA from 1 species
AGUGAACGCUGGCGGUAGGCCUAACACAUGCAAGUCGAACGGCAGCACAGUAAGAUCGUGCGCUUACGGGUGGCGGGUGGCGGACGGGUGAGGAAUGCAUCGGAAUCUACUUUUUCGGGGGGGAUAACGUAGGGAAACUUACGCUAAGACCGCAUACGACCUACGGGGGAAAGCAGGGGAUCGUCGGACCUUGCGCGGUUGGAUUAGCCGAUGUCGGAUUAGUUAGUUGGCCGGGUAAGGACCCACCAAGGCGACGAUCCGCAGCUGGCCUGAGAGGAUGGUCGGCCACACUGGAACUGGGACACGGUCCAUACUCCUACGGGAGGCCGCAGUGGGGAAUAUUGGACAGUGGGCGCAAGCCUGACCCAGCGAUCCCGCGUGGGUGAAGAAGGCCUUCGGGUCGUAAAGCCCUCUUGUUGGGAAAGAACAGCAGCCGGUUAAUACCCCGCUGUUCUGACGGUACCCAAUGAAUAAGCACCGGCUAACUUCGUG